GCCUGGAUAGCUCAGUUGGUUAGAAUGUGGUGCUAAUAAUGCCAAGGUUGCAUGUCUGAUCCCUGUAUGGGACA